rnacentral:rRNA from 1 species
UAGUCCACGCCGUAAACGAUGGUUACUAGCUGUUGGGCCGAUUGGGGCUCAGUGGCCAAGCGAAAGUGAUAAGUAACCCACCUGGGGAGUACGUUCGCAAGAAUGAAACUCAAAGGAAUUGACGGGGGCCCGCACAAGCGGUGGAGCAUGUGGUUUAAUUCGAUGAUACGCGAGGAACCUUACCAGGGCUUAAAUGCAGUUGGACAGGGGUGGAAACACCCCCUUCUUCGGACUGAUUGCAAGGUGCUGCAUGGUUGUCGUCAGCUCGUGCCGUGAGGUGUCAGGUUAAGUCCUAUAACGAGCGCAACCCCUGUGGUUAGUUGCCAGCGAGUAAUGUCGGGAACUCUAGCCAGACUGCCGGUGCAAACCGUGAGGAAGGUGGGGAUGACGUCAAAUCAUCACGGCCCUUACGUCCUGGGCUACACACGUGCUACAAUGGUAGGUACAGAGAGCAGCCACUGCGCGAGCAGGAGCGAAUCUAUAAAACCUAUCUCAGUUCGGAUCGGAGU